UGGCAGACGGGUGAGUAACACGUGGUCAACCUACCUCUGUGUGGGGGAUAACUAGCCGAAAGGUUAGCUAAUACCGCAUACGAUCGUUUGGAGGCAUCUCCGAACGAUGAAAGGAGCAAUCCGCACGGAGAGGGGACUGCGUCCCAUUAGUUAGUUGGUCGGGUAACGGCCUACCAAGACUCCGAUGGGUAGCUGGCUUGAGAGAGCGACCAGCCACACUGGAACUGAGACACGGUCCAGACUCCUACGGGAGGCAGCAGUGAGGAAUUUUCCGCAAUGGGCGAAAGCCUGACGGAGCGACGCCGCGUGUGGGAAGAAGGCCUUCGGGUCGUAAACCACUGUCGAAGGGGACGAUAUUGACGGUACCCUUGGAGGAAGCCCCGGCUAACUACGUGCCAGCAGCCGCGGUAAGACGUAGGGGGCGAGCGUUGUCCGGAAUUAUUGGGCGUAAAGCGCUCGUAGGUGGAUUUGC
rnacentral:rRNA from 1 species